rfam:Capsicum annuum cultivar Zunla-1 chromosome 3, whole genome shotgun sequence
AAUUCAUGGUUCGGGAAUUUCAUGAUUUUAUCCUCGAACCUUUGGCAUACUUCAAAUAAAGGCUCACCACUAUAUUGACAAAAAUAUGUGAUUUUGUCCCUUAAUUU